CUCAUUUCUUUUCUUCUUCUCUCUAUACGUUGGUGUUCUAACCAAUAAUCACCGAUGCGAUGCUCUGUCCGAUCGAUUCAGGAACUAACUAACGGAUGCCAAAGUGCUAUACUUUGAGAGUUCGUUAAACGGAUGCCAAAGUACUAUACUUUGAGAGUUCGUUAAACGGAUGCCAAAGUACUAUACUUUGUGAUUUCGGUAAACGGAAUCCAAAGUGUUACACUUUGUGAAAUUUGUUAAGGUUCGAAUCUCGUGACUACCGUUAAGGUUUGAUUUGGGUUUUACACAAAUACGUAUUCCAUUCUGUUAAACUAUAUGUUUAACUACCAAAAAUACUCCCAACUACACACUCACAAUCAAACAAACUAUUAAAUCAUCAGAAGAUCCAGAAUAAUAAAGUGCAUGCUUAGUCAUCGGAAGAAGUGUAGAAAGUCAGAUUUCCAAGCUGAAUAUGGCAAGAACUCCUCGUCCUGA
rnacentral:lncRNA from 1 species